GGCCACAGCCAUAUCCCCCUGCAGGCAAAGACCGGCUACUCACUGAAGCAAGGCUGAUUCUGGUCAAUACCUGGAUGGGUGACCUCAUGGGAAAACUAGGUUACUGUUGAAA
rnacentral:rRNA from 1 species